rnacentral:rRNA from 1 species
UACGUAGGGGGCUAGCGUUGUCCGGAAUCAUUGGGCGUAAAGCGCGUGUAGGCGGUUCGGUAAGUCCGCUGUGAAAGUCGGGGGCUCAACCCUCGGAUGCCGGUGGAUACUGUCGGACUAGAGUACGGAAGAGGCGAGUGGAAUUCCUGGUGUAGCGGUGAAAUGCGCAGAUAUCGGGAGGAACACCAAUGGCGAAGGCAGCUCGCUGGGACGGUACUGACGCUGAGACGCGAAAGCGUGGGGAGCAAACAGG